rnacentral:rRNA from 1 species
CUACAGGCUUAACACAUGCAAGUCGAGGGGCAUCAGGAAGAAAGCUUGCUUUCUUUGCUGGCGACCGGCGCACGGGUGAGUAACACGUAUCCAACCUGCCCUUUACUCGGGGAUAGCCUUUCGAAAGAAAGAUUAAUACCCGAUAGUAUAAUGAUUCCGCAUGGUUUCAUUAUUAAAGGAUUCCGGUAAAGGAUGGGGAUGCGUUCCAUUAGGUUGUUGGUGAGGUAACGGCCCACCAAGCCUUCGAUGGAUAGGGGUUCUGAGAGGAAGGUCCCCCACAUUGGAACUGAGACACGGUCCAAACUCCUACGGGAGGCAGCAGUGAGGAAUAUUGGUCAAUGGGCGCUAGCCUGAACCAGCCAAGUAGCGUGAAGGAUGAAGGCUCUAUGGGUCGUAAACUUCUUUUAUAUAAGAAUAAAGUGCAGUAUGUAUACUGUUUUGUAUGUAUUAUAUGAAUAAGGAUCGGCUAACUCCGUGCCAGCAGCCGCGGUAAUACGGAGGAUCCGAGCGUUAUCCGGAUUUAUUGGGUUUAAAGGGAGCGUAGGUGGACUGGUAAGUCAGUUGUGAAAGUUUGCGGCUCAACCGUAAAAUUGCAGUUGAUACUGUCAGUCUUGAGUACAGUAGAGGUGGGCGGAAUUCGUGGUGUAGCGGUGAAAUGCUUAGAUAUCACGAAGAACUCCGAUUGCGAAGGCAGCUCACUGGACUGCAACUGACACUGAUGCUCGAAAGUGUGGGUAUCAAACAGGAUUAGAUACCCUGGUAGUCCACACAGUAAACGAUGAAUACUCGCUGUUUGCGAUAUACAGUAAGCGGCCAAGCGAAAGCAUUAAGUAUUCCACCUGGGGAGUACGCCGGCAACGGUGAAACUCAAAGGAAUUGACGGGGGCCCGCACAAGCGGAGGAACAUGUGGUUUAAUUCGAUGAUACGCGAGGAACCUUACCCGGGCUUAAAUUGCAGUGGAAUGAUGUGGAAACAUGUCAGUGAGCAAUCACCGCUGUGAAGGUGCUGCAUGGUUGUCGUCAGCUCGUGCCGUGAGGUGUCGGCUUAAGUGCCAUAACGAGCGCAACCCUUAUCUUUAGUUACUAACAGGUUAUGCUGAGGACUCUAGAGAGACUGCCGUCGUAAGAUGUGAGGAAGGUGGGGAUGACGUCAAAUCAGCACGGCCCUUACGUCCGGGGCUACACACGUGUUACAAUGGGGGGUACAGAAGGCAGCUAGCGGGUGACCGUAUGCUAAUCCCAAAAGCCUCUCUCAGUUCGGAUCGAAGUCUGCAACCCGACUUCGUGAAGCUGGAUUCGCUAGUAAUCGCGCAUCAGCCACGGCGCGGUGAAUACGUUCCCGGGCCUUGUACACACCGCCCGUCAAGCCAUGGGAGCCGGGGGUACCUGAAGUACGUAACCGCAAGGAUCGUCCUAGGGUAAAACUGGUGACUGGGGCUAAGUCAUAACA